rnacentral:rRNA from 1 species
GGUGAGUAACGCGUGGGAACAUGCCCUUCGGUGCGGAACAACAGUUGGAAACGACUGCUAAUACCGCAUACGCCCUACGGGGGAAAGAUUUAUCGCCGAAGGAUUGGCCCGCGUUGGAUUAGCUAGUUGGUGGGGUAAUGGCCUACCAAGGCGACGAUCCAUAGCUGGUCUGAGAGGAUGAUCAGCCACACUGGGACUGAGACACGGCCCAGACUCCUACGGGAGGCAGCAGUGGGGAAUAUUGGACAAUGGGCGCAAGCCUGAUCCAGCCAUGCCGCGUGAGUGAUGAAGGCCCUAGGGUUGUAAAGCUCUUUCACCCACGAGGAUAAUGACGGUAGUGGGAGAAGAAGCCCCGGCUAACUUCGUGCCAGCAGCCGCGGUAAUACGAAGGGGGCUAGCGUUGUUCGGAAUCACUGGGCGUAAAGCGCACGUAGGCGGACUGAUCAGUCAGGGGUGAAAUCCCGGGGCUUAACCCCGGAACUGCCUUUGAUACUGUCAGUCUUGAGGCCGAGAGAGGUGAGUGGAACUCCGAGUGUAGAGGUGAAAUUCGUAGAUAUUCGGAAGAACACCAGUGGCGAAGGCGGCUCACUGGCUCGGUACUGACGCUGAGGUGC